GCAAACUUGGUCAUUUAGAGGAAGUAAAAGUCGUAACAAGGUUUCCGUAGGUGAACCUGCGGAAGGAUCAUUACUGAAAGAUAGAUGAGGUUGAUGCUGGCUCUCCAAUCGGAGAGUAUGUGCUCACCUUGUCGUUUUUCUACUCUCCACUGUGCACCUUUUGUAGGCUCUGUGAUACCCCUCAGUCCGUUCGGGAGUACACUAGCGGAGUACAAUGGUCAUUGCUUAACUGCUCUGUCCUACUGUCUCGGCCGGGUAGUCCUGAUGAAGACUGGAUGUGAGGCUUAGCUCGCGCUUUGCCUCUACUUUCGCAGGUCUACGUCUCUACAAACUACUAAAAGUCAUUGAAUGUUCUUCUUGUUGGUUGUAAUGACCGAUAGAAACCUAUACAACUUUCAGCAACGGAUCUCUUGGCUCUCGCAUCGAUGAAGAACGCAGC
rnacentral:misc_RNA from 1 species